rnacentral:rRNA from 1 species
UGGGGAAUAUUGGACAAUGGGCGCAAGCCUGAUCCAGCCAUGCCGCGUGAGUGAUGAAGGCCCUAGGGUUGUAAAGCUCUUUCACCGGUGAAGAUAAUGACGGUAACCGGAGAAGAAGCCCCGGCUAACUUCGUGCCAGCAGCCGCGGUAAUACGAAGGGGGCUAGCGUUGUUCGGAUUUACUGGGCGUAAAGCGCACGUAGUCGGACUUUUAAGUCAGGGGUGAAAUCCCGGGGCUCAACCCCGGAACUGCCUUUGAUACUGCAAGUCUUGAGUAUGGUAGAGGUGAGUGGAAUUCCGAGUGUAGAGGUGAAAUUCGUAGAUAUUCGGAGGAACACCAGUGGCGAAGGCGGCUAACUGGACCAAUACUGACGCUGAGGUGCGAAAGAGUGGGGAGCAAACAGG